CGCCUACGAACGAACGUGCUACACUCGGACGUCCCCUGCAGUGGAGGCUGAGAUAAAGAGACAAAACUCCAGAGAUUGUGAGACAAAGCCUGUGACAAAGCUGGAAGGAGAGGGUUGGAUCCCUCACCUACCUGCUCCAAAGCCCAUCCUUCUACAUACCAGGCUGAAAACUGGAGCUUUAGAAGAAGAGGAAGAGAAAGAAGAGGA